rnacentral:misc_RNA from 1 species
AAGUCGUAACAAGGUUUCCGUAGGUGAACCUGCGGAAGGAUCAUUACAGUAUUCUUUUGCCAGCGCUUAACUGCGCGGCGAAAAACCUUACACACAGUGUCUUUUUGAUACAGAACUCUUGCUUUGGUUUGGCCUAGAGAUAGGUUGGGCCAAAGGUUUAACAAAACACAAUUUAAUUAUUUUUAUUGAUAGUCAAAUUUUGAAUUAAUCUUCAAAACUUUCAACAACGGAUCUCUUGGUUCUC